rnacentral:rRNA from 1 species
AGGACGAACGCUGGCGGCGUGCUUAACACAUGCAAGUCGAGCGGAAAGGCCCUUCGGGGUACUCGAGCGGCGAACGGGUGAGUAACACGUGAGCAACCUGCCCCUGGCUCUGGGAUAGCCUCCUGAAACGGGGAUUAAUACCGGACAUUCACUUCCUUCCGCAUGGUUGGUGGUGGAAAGUUUUUUCGGCCGGGGAGUGGCUCGCGGCCUAUCAGCUUGUUGGCGGGGUAACGGCCCACCAAGGCGACGACGGGUA